UAGGGAAUCUUCCACAAUGGGCGAAAGCCUGAUGGAGCAACGCCGCGUGUGUGAUGAAGGGUUUCGGCUCGUAAAACACUGUUGUAAGAGAAGAAUGACAUUGAGAGUAACUGUUCAAUGUGUGACGGUAUCUUGCCAGAAAGGAACGGCUAAAUACGUGCAAG
rnacentral:rRNA from 1 species